GGCCUAUAGCUCAGCUGGUUUAUGAKCGCACGCCUGAUAAGCGUGAAGGUCGCAUGGUUCAAGUCCAUUUAUGGCCC
rnacentral:tRNA from 1 species